AAAAAGGGAUAAAUAGAAUAAAUAAGAAUAAGAAUACAAAGGAAUUGCAAGUAUUUCAAGUAUUUCAAGUAUUGAAGUCUAUUGCACCGUUGGUUUUUAACAAAAAGUAUUGCACAGUGAAAAGGGAGUAGUAGUCUUUUUAGCAGUCACUUGUAUUAUUUACAUAAUCCUGAUUUUGGUCCUGCUGGAUCUGUCUCAAGGCGUUCAGGGCAUCAGUCAUGUUUGAUGAGUGUACAUUGUCUGAUGUGUGUGUGUGUGUGUGUGUGUGUGUUGUGAGAUUCAGAAGGACGCGGCCCCUCUUCUUGUUAGGGAGCGCAGAUAAAAGUAUCCAGCUGUCCUCUUCCUGCU